UUGAGCCGUGUGACUCGAAAGGGUCACGCACGGUUCUGAGGGGGCGAGGGCACCGCAAGGUGCCCAAGCUACCCGGU
rnacentral:ncRNA from 1 species